rnacentral:rRNA from 1 species
GACGAACGCUGGCGGCGUGCUUAACACAUGCAAGUCGAGCGGUAAGGCCCUUUCGGGGUACGACGAGCGGCGAACGGGUGAGUAACACGUGGGUGACCUGCCCUUACGCUCUGGGAGUAAGCCUGGGAAACGUGGGUCUAAUACCGGAUAUGACUCCAUGACGCAUGUUGUGGGGUGGAAAGCCUUGUGCGGCUAGGGAUGGCCCGCGGCCUAUCAGCUUGUUGGUGGGGUGAUGGCCACCAAGGCGACGACGGGUAGCCGGCCUGAGAGGGCGACCGGCCACACU